UUAUUGAGAGUUUGAUCCUGGCUCAGGACGAACGCUGGCGGCGUGCCUAACACAUGCAAGUCGAACGAAGCUCCCCGAUACAAGGCUUCGGCCAAGUUGAAGGGAUGACUUAGUGGCGGACGGGUGAGUAACGCGUGAGGAACCUGCCUUUCAGUGGGGGACAACAGUUGGAAACGACUGCUAAUACCGCAUAAUGU
rnacentral:rRNA from 1 species